rnacentral:tRNA from 1 species
CGGGAUCAAGGCCCGUCGAUCUAG